rnacentral:rRNA from 1 species
CCUACGGGAGGCAGCAGUAGGGAAUAUUGCUCAAUGGGGGAAACCCUGAAGCAGCAACGUCGCGUGGAGGAUGAAGGUUUUCGGAUUGUAAACUCUUUUUGUUAGAGAAGAUAAUGAUGGUAUCUAACGAAUAAGCACUGGCUAACUCCGUUCAAGCUCGCGCGGUAAUACGGAGGGUGCAAGCGUUAUUCGGAUUCACUGGGCGUAAAGAGCGCGUAGGCGGGAUAGCAAGUCAGAUGUGAAAUCUUAUGGCUUAACCAGAGAACUGCAUGUAAAACUGUUAUUCUAGAGAAUGGGAGAGGUAGGGGGAAUGCUUGGUGUAGGGGUAAAAUCCGUAGAGAUCA